GAAAACACAUCCCUUCUCCCACUGGAAGGUCAGCUGAGAGUCCACAUGAGUGGCCAGUGAAAAGAAAACCAAGGAAAACUGCCACGGAUUGCCUGUUUUUGUGGCUACUUGAGCAGUUGAAUCACAGCCUGACCUGGAAAAGGAGCAAGGAUUUUGUCAGGAGCAAUCGUCUCUCAGAAGCAAGAACACUCAAAUGUGCUAGAAGACCAGAAAAGGUGUUCGACUCAGCGUAUUGUAAAUACUUGCAAGUCCUGCUCUGUGUAUUGCUCCAGGAGCCAUCAGUGGCUAGAACUGUGUUCUAUUAGGAAUUGCACCUCAGUUGCACCAGCAUGCAGAUUCCAGGUAUAAUGUUUUUCUUUAUGAAGUUGCAUAGGAGGUUGACCGUGUUCUGGAAUUGGUCAGUAUUUCUUUUUUCCUAAUGAAACAAAAGUCAAGCUCAAACCAGGUCUUAGGAGCCUUCUUAGUGCAACCCGAGAUACCCACAGAUGUGUGGGAAAACUUGUAUUCUUCAUGGAGAAUUCCUUUUAUACUCAGUAGAUAGAUCCCGCUCUCUGAACCCAAAAAUGAAGUUAAUCUUUUUUAAAAAAAAUCUGCAUAUUUACUGAGUUUCUCCUGUUUUAAAUUUAAAAUAUAACAAAAUUAUUGAUUUGAAUUUCUUUUUCAAAACAUAAUCACAUAUUUUGAAAAGUCUAAAGUACUAUUCACUAGUAAUUCUAGAGAAGUGGUUGUAUCCUAUUCAAUUCACUUUGUAGUGUGAUUAUUGAAAAUAUAUCCUUUUGCCUGAUUCAUCUUGAUUAGAGACAUUACCAGGGACCUGUUGGUUUAUUAAUAUAUUCUAAAUUAUUUACUCCCACAGUAAAACAUUAGGUACAAAAUUACAAUGCUUUGGAGAACUCUCCCAAAAUAUUCUAAUGUGAAAUUAUAAAAAAAAUACUUCAAAACUAAAAAUCUUUUGAAGUAUACGAGAAAAAGAUAUGAAUCUAAAACCAAAGCAUUAUCUACUUGCUGCAUAAUAAAUGUCACUGAAAAUCUCUGAAGUAUUUUCAUUGGACCUUAACAGUCUUUGCUUCUAAAGGGUUAACAUAAGUUUUUGAGAAUAUAAUAUCUAAUUUAACAAAAUUUUAAAUGUCUAAUAUGGAUCCUAAACCUCAUCACAGAGAAAUGAGACAGCCCCCAAGUUUAAUGGGUAUUCCCACUCUCAAUGGGCUCGUGGUGUUAGGUUUGUUAAGCCAAUGACAGUAGAAAAAGUUAGGGCUCUUUCUGGAUGGACAAGUCCACUCAGCCAGACAGGGGUCAGACUGGUCCUCUGCUCACUCACCAGCUUCUUUUUGGGAAAGGAGAGCCUUUCUGUGUGUCUAGAUUAUCCUCAGAAGUUAAAAAAUUCAUUUUGGCCGAAAUUCUGCCUCUGAAAGUAUGACUCGAGUGAAUUAAAGUUCACAGCUUCUUGAAUUGAAUGGGCUGUGAUUGUGCAAAUUUAAUUUUAGAUAAUGUACCACAUUUAGACAUUUGCUUUCAGGCUUCUGUUGCCCAGAGGGAGAACUGCUAAAUCAGGAGGAGCUACAGCAUGAUGCAGUGCAGGAGCUCUGCAUGGAGAAGGCAGGAACCCGGGGAGCAGCCCUGUCCUGCCGUAAUUAACUCUGUGACCUCAGGCUAUCUGGGUGGCCUCUCUGGGCCUCGUGCAGAAAACCAGAGGACUACGUACGUGAUCCCACGGUCUCGUCAGCUCUCAGUCUCUUAGCCUCUCCAAUGGCACAAGCACCAAAUUACUCCGCAAAUGGUUCAUAAUGGUUCAUAAAUCCACGUGAGCAGCGCAGGGUGACACUUGAUUGACAAGUGUCAAAACUUCUCAAGGAGUUGGUUUGUGUGCUUUACAGGAGAAGGGGUAGAGUGUGUGGGUAAAUGGUGGUGAUGUGGCCUGUGGCAUAUAUAUAGAAGAACUGGGACAAUCCACCACCAUCAAGAGUAGAUUGGGGAGGUCAGGAAUUGGGUGAGUAGUGGCAGCUGACUCUCACUAAAUGCCACCAUGAAGCAGUUGUGGGUUUCUUGUCAGCUUCAAUCAGCAGCUAGAGAGAAGGAUGACCAUUACCAGCUUUGAAAUGAGGAAAGCCAGUCUCAGGCUUUGCAUACCAACACUUCAACCAGGAAUCCCUGGGCUCUAGGACUGGAACUUGACCAGUGUCAGGGGAAAAAAAAGCCUGAGUAGGCAGGAGUCACUUCUGGCAAAGAAGAGGCUGCAGAUGCAAAAAUUUUCUUAAAAGAAAGAGAAUUCUGUUGUCCUGCAGUCAGGAGUGCACGCAUCGGGUUUGUCCCCAGUUUCUGAAGUAGCAGAGUCAUUGCAAUAACCUUGGGAACAUUUCUUAGCCUCAAGCUGCAACUUGAUUUCUACCACGGUGCAUCACUUGUUACAGAAAUUCAACAAACUGUACCUAGAUGACACAUUCGACAAUAGUGUUCUCUAACAAGAAGCUUCAGGCAAUUUAUUUAAGCAUCAAAAUACUUGUAGCAUUAUUAGGAAGCACGUUAGUAUGCAAGUAUUAAGAAACUUUUUCUUUUCACUUAAAAUAUAUUAUGAAAAUACUUCUUACCCGAAUUAAUAUGAGAAUUGCAUUUUUACAUUAUUUGUGUUGAUAGUUUAUAAUAGAUCGCUUUUUAACAAAAAAUGAAGUCAGGUUAUAAAGCUACCAAGCUUCCAAGUGAGAAUAGACUAAUUAUAAAUGUGAGAAAGUUUGGGGCAGGGGACAUAGGCAUUAAAAUAGACGCACUUAAUAAGAGGUGACAAUGAUAGCACUGGGAUGAGUCUCAUUUGAGGUCACCCAGGAGGAAGCCUUUCUGCUCUGGGGAAAGCAACAAUAAUGAGCAAAGCAAUAGGAAAGAAGAAUGAGAAAACUUACAGUGGACAUAAAAAUCAAGAAAUUGCUGCAGUGUAUUCUACGGUAUAGUCUGGUGAGCGUUCAAGUUGUCUGCAUCCAAGCAAAGAACUACAACAAUUAAUAUUGUAACAGGUAGUUUAGCUAUUUAUCUUAUAAAUAGAUGGUUUGUAAAGAAGAAGGCCUCAGGCGGAGUCAGGUUGGUCAGCCUUAUGGAGAAACAGUACAUAUGCAUGAUUCUAUAGGUUGAUAGGCUCAGAAAUGUAAAAGCAAAUACUGGGGAAAUGAUAGCAGUUAAGAUAAGGACAGGGAGUUAGGAUUCCUACCCUUAGGUGGGAUGAGGUGCACCAAAUUAACACACACACACACACACACACACACACACACACAUACUGCACACACCCUGCACACAUACACACACAUGCACACAUAUAAAUGCACAUAUGCACACACAUCUAGGCUUUGAGGCAUUCAAGUAUACUGAGUAACUGGUUUUUCUUUUGCACUCUGAAUUGGAAAGCCUGAUUUUCUAUUGUUUACUUGAAAUUCAUAGGACCACUCAUGAUAGGUGAUCACUGGGCACAACAAAUUCCAGUGCUCUGCUUGUCCACAAAAGACUCUAAACAAAAAGCCCACAUGACCACUGUUUUGGGACUGUUCCAUCUGGGAACUUUCUUUAUUCUUAUACUUCCAAUAACACUCAUCUCAACUUCCUUCUUUGUGAUUUCACUCUUUGGCUCUGAGAGAUACUGGCCCAGUUUGGACAAUAACAACAUGAAGAUGCCUAUGAGAAGUUCAAAACUUCAAUCCUUGAGGAAGUCUGCACUCCAGAUUAGCAAAAGUGCAACAGUUAUGUAACCCAUGCUGCCAGGAAGGCUGCUAGGAAGUGGAUGCCCUGGAAAACCCUGGAAAGGAACCAAAAAUGGAUCAGCACCUGCGAGAAGGGGGUUGGAAAUAUCUAACAAAAUUAUAUAUGCAUUUAUCCUUUGACCCACAAUCUUUCUUCCAAGAAUCCUUCAUAACAACACAUUGUACAGGCAGAGAAUGGGAGAUUGGAGUCAGUGACACAGACACCAAAGUCUGAGCUGGCUGCAGGGGUACAGGUGCCAGCACUGUGGCUUGAGCCUGAAGAAUAAAGGGUAGUGUGGCUCUGAUCUUCCAGAAUACUAGCAGGUAGAUUUUGUAUCAUCAUUCAGAAGUGCAAUGAUCUGCAAAGAGGGUAAACAAGAUUUUGAACCUCUGGAACAUUGAGUCCAAGUCAGUCGACCUUUGAGUCCAGAACUGGAGUCUUUGCAAAGAGGAAUUGGUUGGAAGGAGCCAACUGAAGACAGAAGAAGGCAUUCUUUAAGCUCAAGAGGACUUUUGAUGAUCUACACUUGGAAUUCUACAUAAGAAGGAAAAAGGUCAAGGGACUUUAUAGAGAAGCAAGACAGAAAUGCAAGGUGCAAACAAACACAAGAGGCAUUUAAUAGUUUUACAGAGAUGAAAACUCAUGCCAUUUUCAGCACCAGAAAAGAAUGUAGGUUAGUGCAAAAGAUACUAACCGGAGUACCCCAAAUCAGCUGCUGAUAGAAUGUCCUAAUGCAAGCAAAGAAAACACAAAUCUGAAUUCAAAAUCGUGACAGCAGUAUAACACCUACUCAUCUUAUAGCCGUCUGCAGAACUGAUUGGAGGGAAGAGUAGGAGCAUGAAGAUAUGGACAAUUCAAAUCCUGUGGUCUUCUUAGCUGCUUUUCAUCUAAAGUAGCACAUGAACUCCAUGUGCAAGCCGAUAUGGCUGAUAGAGCUACCGCUACUUCCCUUUACCCACGGAAAGCUACGUUACUGUGCACAGUACAGAUGGAACUGGAGGUACUGGUCUGCCCAAGUACUGGGGAAAUGCUUGAUGAUCUGCAGGUUCGAGAGCUGAAUAGUAACACCAUGUGUCUUGCAUUCAUAUUAUGUUCUAUAUUUUUAUGGGGAGAAAGGAAGUGUAUUAAGUGUUAAGUAAACACCAGGCAUUGUGUUAGUGCUUUAGGUUUGCUAUUUAGUUCUUCAUAUCACCAAGUUAGCAGAGAGUAUUAUCCCCUUUUUACAAAAGUGGAAAAUGGCUAUGGUGAUCUGUCAAGGUCUACAAACAAAUACCUGAUCUAACCAGGAAUUAGCCCCUGCCACGUGAGCCCCCAAAUCAGAAUUAACAGAAUAUGACGAUUCUAUCCUCACAAUUGGCAUUGUAAGGCUACUCACAGCAGAGUGGUCUCUGCAGUUCAGACAGGUUUAUGGAGGCUGCUUUGCCUCUGAUGGUACUGACAAUUUCUUUUGUCACAGAGUUGGGUCCACUGAGCUUCUGAGGGCUAUGCAUGUCCCAGGCAAGUGGAAUGUUUUAUUUCCAAUAAAAAAAAAAACUUAUGACAUCAUUGCUUGGCUGAAGCCAUUAAUACAACUGCCAUUGUACCUCAUGGUUAGGAACAUCAAGUUCCAUACAAAUUCUAUUGCUUCAAAUGCUCAGCCUAAGUUCUGCAAAGUGAUGGAAAUUUGUCCUCAAGUGACAACCUCCUUACUACAGAACUUAUGGAUUCAAAUAUACUUGGAUUUCUUCCAUGGACCAAUUCCAGCUGUCCUACCUUUUGAUGAUUUAUUUCAGAUACCUUCCAGGCUUUACCUAGGAACUCCACCAUGAAAAGACAGCAGGAAUUCUAGAGUGUUGUCAUGGCAACCCCUAGAUAUCAUCUUCACAAUGCCCCAUGGCUGUUGAGUCCAGAUUUAUUACAAUUAUAUUUCUAUAUGGAAGGUACAGACAACCAGACCUCAGAAAAUGGUUCUAAUUUGCAAUUAUAUGGAUCACUGUAACACUCCUUAUAGCAAGAUUUUAAGAAACUGCUCUCGAUCUGGUGAUAGCUGCCAUAUUUACAUGGGCCCAUACCUUAAAUGUAUUGUGUUAGGGUAGGGGAUAUCUACCCAACCUUCCAUUCUGUCAAAAGAAAAUAGAGUCCAAUUUUAUGAAGGUGUUUGAUGAGAAAUUGGCACCAGCUCCCUUUUGUCCCUAAAGUGAGGAGAAUAUGCUGAGCUCUUGCUUCAGAUUCUCCUUUUUAUUUCUCUUUGUCUCCUGAACCAUGCUUGAAACAAUGGGAGCACAAAGCCCUGUUACAACAGAACCACUUCCAAGCAGAACGGUGCAGGGGCUGCCCAGCAUCUUGUGCAGUGGGUGUUUGUCUAGCAUCAUCAUUGCAAUUUUUAUUGCAUCUCAUGAUGUGCACAGAUGUGCUUGGUAAGCAUCCCAAGAGGUAAAGAGACUCUGCUCAAUAUCCCUGUUCCCAAAUGACACUACCUUACAGAAUCACUUUCUGGGCUACCUCCUUUGGGAUGCUACAGCCAUUUAAAGUCUCUGGAUUUUGGUGUUUUAACAAGGGUUUAAUUACUAAGGUAAGUGUAUGCACCUGCUAAGGCAUUCCUAAUUAUUUGAUAAUGGUGCAAUCUUUCUCAAUACAGCUAGUUUUGUGGUGUAAGCUACACUAAUGAAGCACAGUGAGAGAACACAUUCCCCCAAUGUUGGGGAGGCUUAUUUAAAUUAAAUAAAUUUGCAAAGGACUGAAUUUUUACCACUGGCCUCAACAAUUAUGCAUCAGUACACCAUACCAGAAGCCAGUGUGCCUCUGUCAAAAUGAGUCACACUCCCCAUUACUUUUGCUCAUUGAAGUAUCUUUAAGUGAGACGAUGUCACUUUCAAAUUUUUAUCCUUUCCAGAUUGCUUCACAUACUUCAACUUGUCCCACUCUGUCUUAAAAAAAAAAAAAAAAAGCUUAUCUCUUUUGUUUUUUACUUGGCAGCAACUGAUAUAAGCACUGUUUGACAAUGCUUAAUUUUUUUUCUUUUCCACCUGAUUCUUACCACUGCCAUAUGUGGUCUGUGGGUGACUUAGUAGUAAGAUCCUUGCUUAUAACAUCUGCAAAUUAGCACCUUGCACUGCAGCCUCUCUGGAAACUUGCUGAUGGUUUGCAAUUGUAGUAAGUCAGAGUCAACCUUCUAUCCAAGUGUUUCAAACUUUGCUGCAGAAGAAGAAUCAGGUUCCAGCAGAUGAAUGGUUUCCAAAUCACUGUUAGGAGCUACAUUAGCAAAACAUUGUGCAUCUCACUCCUCAAACACACAUAUUCAUUUCAGUACGUGCAGUUGCUCAGGAAAGAAAUUGAAACUGAUCAAAACUGGUUCUAUCUCUUCUGUAUUCCUGGUCAUUUAAUUUUUUCUUCCAAAAUAUUUUAGUGAAUCAGCCUGGUUCCACCAAAGGCUAUCAUUAAUGAAAUUUUCCAAGACAAGGUAAAAGAAUGUCCUUCAUUGUCCAAUUUUUCCAAAUAUUUGUGAAAGUUAAAUCGAUUUUUAUAUUUUUCCAAUAAAAUAAAUACACCAAUG